rnacentral:rRNA from 1 species
UACGUAGGGCGCAAGCGUUAUCCGGAAUUACUGGGCGUAAAGCGCGCGUAGGCGGACCUGCAAGUCGGGGGUGAAAGCCCGAGGCUCAACCUCGGAACUGCCUUCGAUACUGCGGGUCUCGAGUCCGGGAGAGGUGAGUGGAAUUCCUAGUGUAGAGGUGAAAUUCGUAGAUAUUAGGAAGAACACCAGUGGCGAAGGCGGCUCACUGGCCCGGUACUGACGCUGAGGCGCGAAAGCGUGGGGAGCAAACAGG